rnacentral:rRNA from 1 species
GACGAACGCUGGCGGCGUGCUUAACACAUGCAAGUCGAACGGAAAGGCCCCUUCGGGGGUACUCGAGUGGCGAACGGGUGAGUAACACGUGAGUAACCUGCCCUGACUUCGGGAUAACUUCAGGAAACUGGGGCUAAUACCGGAUAGGAAUCCUUGCUGCAUGGUGGGGGUUGGAAAGCUUCGGCGGUUUUGGAUGGACUCGCGGCUUAUCAGCUUGUUGGUGGGGUAGUGGCUUACCAAGGCUUUGACGGGUAGCCGGCCUGAGAGGGCGGCCGGCCACAUUGGGACUGAGAUACGGCCCAGACUCCUACGGGAGGCAGCAGUGGGGAAUAUUGCACAAUGGGCGGAAGCCUGAUGCAGCAACGCCGCGUGCGGGAUGACGGCCUUCGGGUUGUAAACCGCUUUCAGCAGGGGCGAAGCUUGUGGUGACGGUACCUGCAGAAGAAGCACCGGCUAACUACGUG